rnacentral:lncRNA from 1 species
UCGAGGUUGAGUAUAUCUUUUGAAUCGCUCGAUCGUUUUGAUGUGGUUGAGCAUUUAAAGAGUUUGAGAUGAGAUUUUGGUGAAAUUUCGUAGGCCUACUGACCUACUGUGAUCGACGGUUUGUCGAUGUCAAAUAGCUUUGAAAAUUUUAUAGCAAGUCCCUACAUGAGUCUUGAGUACCCUGGUAAAAUUUCAAGCCAUUUCAACUUCGUUUGAUAUUUCUUUAAAAUGCAAAACCUAAACUGCACAUUACUACCGAGAAUUUCAGAGAACAGGGGAAAGAGUCAUUCAUUUCAGUAGCUUCCUGUGUGAUCUAGCUUUCCAAAUUUUUAUGGUAUCAACCUUAUUGUGUUAGCUAGAUAUCCACCAAAGUUGAGCCCAGUUUGACAACGUUUACUUUUUUUUCAAAAAUUGUAACUUUCGGUUGCACAAAACUGCCAGAAAUGGUAGAUUGUGGUAAAAACGUCAUAUCUCUCAAACCACUUGGAGUUUUUGACUCUACUUUUUUUU